CAACUACUCCCUCUGUCCCAAAUUUCUUGUCUUAGAUUUGUCUAGAUACGGAUGUAUCAAGUCACAUUUAGAUACAUUCGUAUCUAGACAAAUCUAAGACAAGAAUUUUGGGACGGAGGGAGUACUUU
rnacentral:pre_miRNA from 1 species